rnacentral:lncRNA from 1 species
CUUGCUGUUUAGACGGGUAAGUUAGACGGGAAAGUUCAGACGGGAAACUCGUCUGCGCCCGGAUUCAUAUUAGACGAGUUUCCCGUCUGAGACGAGUUUCCCGUCUAAGACGAGUUUCCCGUCUCUAAUAUGAAUUCGGCUAUUGUUUCUUCGUCUAUCAUAACUAAAAUACAACUGUUUAUUUGGAAAAAAUUACGAUUACAUUACUAUACAAACAUAUAUAAUAGAAAUUACUAAUUAAAUUACUAAUUACUAAUUACUAUACGAAGUAAUAUUCAUACAUUUAAAUAAGUAUACAGUAAUAAUAUAAAAAGCUUAUUGUUCCUUUGAGCCAGGCGGUCUUUUGCUCUAAUAGAAUUAUAGAAAAGUUACCUAGAAAAGUUACCUAGAAAAGUUUCAUGUUAUAACAUUUGAUGUUAUAAUAUCAGAUCUUAUAUAUUCGUUAAGUCAUUAUAUUGCCGAGAACAUGCAUUCUUAUUUGAGGGUCUAAAUGGGGGCUGAAAAUCAGUAAACGGUAAAAAAAUUAGUAUUUUAACGGUAAAAUUUUGGUAUUUUAACGGUAAAUCUUUGAAAAGUGUUCUGAAACGAUAAACAGUAUUUUUUCCUCACGCUUCACGGUAAAUUAGUGUUUUCACGACUGACGGUAAUCGAAAUUGAGUGAAUCACGACUCGAUCACGAUAUACCCCCAGCCUCGUACCCAGGCGCUUUGUUGUGGCUACACCGUCGCGCGACACGAACGCGGGACGACGCGCGUGGGAGAAAAUGGACUGACGAAAUUGCACGAAAUUGAUAAAAUUAAUCCACGCAGCCCACGCAAGGCCACGUAAGCCAUAGAACAACACAUAGCGCCUGGGUACGAGGCUGAUAUACCCCACUGAUCAACACCCUCUUAUUUGGCAGCCUAAAGCGGUUCAGGGAUCGCGCAAGCGGGCGGGGGGGGGGGGUUACACUACUGCAAUAUAUGCUAUUAAUCGCAUGCUCAGCUGGCUAUACCGGCUAGCAUUGCUUUCAAGGUUGAAAUAUUUAGACGUUGGCCCGAAAAAUUAUCAGUUUUGGAAAGUGAAACAUAUUUUGGGCUUCCACAGUGUCGCAGUUUUAAGCGUGCCCCCGUGAUUUCAAAGCAGAGUUUUAUCUCCCCCAAACGAGAAUGUGCUGCGCGGUCCCUGCGGUUCUUGCAUUUCGGGUGUUCACAACUGGUAAUUGCUAGAUAGUAUACUUCAAAAUAAGGUUUCCGUUUUAUAUCAAUUUUUAAAAUAAGUUAGGGUUAGGUUAGGGUUAAGGUUGGGGUUAGGGUUAGUGUUAAGCCCAGUUUACACUACGCUCAAUUUUUGGUACGGCACGGAUAAAAUUGGUACCCGUACCCGUUUUUUGGUUCUUGGACUACCUAUAUUUUGAGCCCCGUUUACACUACGCUCGAUUUUUGGUACCGUACCACUUUUUUGGUUCUUGGACUACCUAAAUAGGUAGUCCAAGAACUAAAAAAGUGGUACGGGUACCAAUUUUAUCCGUGCCGUACCAAAAAUUGAGCGUAGUGUAAACGGGGCUUUAGGGUUAGGGCUUAGUUUUGCGUUAGGAUGGUUUUUUCUACGUUAUAAAAACGGAAACCUUAUUUUGAAGUAUACUAUCUAGCAAUUACCGUGUUUUCAAUUGCCUACACUUCAGAAGUUCAGGCGAGUGGUUCUUAAUCCAUUGGUUUAUUUACAAACAGUUAUAUAUUGGACGAGGAUUUUGUGAUAUCCAGAAUUAUCAAGGUAGAGAUCAGUCGAGCAGAAGCGGAAAUUCAGUGAUAUAUCACAACAACCGAAAUUCAAUAACUGUUUUAUUAUACAAUGCAUUUUCCUUAUAUGUCGCAAAAAAUAACAUUUGGUUCUCAAGAACAUUGCAGUGAAAACGAUUUUAAAUACAGUAUCACAAUAACAGUAUAAAAAUGUUAGAAAACUCAUUUACCUACUACGUACUGAGUUCAGUCGAGCCGAAGGCGAGAUUGAUAUACCGAGACUUUGAUAAUUUGGGAUAUCACAACAACCGAAUUCAAUAACUGUUUUAUUAUACAUUGGCCAUUGCAUUUUCAUUAACUCUUUCGACAAACAAUGAUUUGUCACAACAUUCGCUUCUCAAGAGCAGCAGUGAAAACGAAUCUUAAAAUAUUAAAAUAACGGCACAAAAAUAUUGGAAAACUCAUUUACCUACUAAAGUUCCGAUAAAACGCCAAAAAAGUCUUCUUUUUGCAUAAAAACCUUUUCUUGUUUUUUUUUUGUAUUCGUGGCUUUUUCGUGCAUUUAAAACUGCCGCUUGCCAAUAAAAUUAUAUACGGCUGGCUCAACGUACACAUAACUCAAUUAUCUGCUAGUAAAUAACUAUGUUAUGUGUAGGUUGCGUGUUGCCAUAUUUACCUGUAAGCUAUUAAACAAAUCAAAACGCGUGCAAAGAACUACAAUGUAUAAUAUUACUAAAAUCACUAAACUGGCCACAUCCCGCUAAGAAUUUCAAACGGGGAAAGACCAUAGAUAUCUCAUAUACACUAGAUAGCGCAUCCCUCCCUGUAGGCAGGCGAAAAUUGAAGCCUGAUCGCAGUCGCAGUUUACGUGCGGCGGCCAUAUUGGUCGUUCCCACGGAGCGUGAUAAUUUGUAUAUUUUGUAUUGCGGAAAUGGACAAAGUUGACAAUAAACCCUCUUUUAUGCAGUCAAUUUUGGUUUUUCAAGUGUGCAACUUGUUGUAAAUGAUGCCAGAUCGUUGGAGCUUCAUAUUGUGAAUAACGGGUAGGCAGAAUUUAAUUUUUUUUUUCGAAAAUAUCAAUAUUUGUCGACCCGUAUGAAGGGCGCCCAUAGGACAAACCUUAUGGACAAACCAUCAUUGUUGAUGUAUAUAUAAAUAUAGUUCUACCAAUUCCAAAUAAAACAUUUUGAGCCAUCGCCAUUGCGUCAUGGCAAAAUUGUGAAUGUAUUUGCAUAUUCUUUUGUAAAAGACAGCGACACUGAAAAACAUAUUUUAGUCACAGUUUAUCAAUGGCAAAAAUAGACUUAAAAUCUUAAAUAGUCAAUAUAUAGAACAUUGACACCAAAAAUGGUUCUUAAACUUUCUAAAACCUUUAAUUGUAUGAAUGCUUCAAACUAUCUUUAAUAUUUGAUGUUAAGAAAUAUUUCUUUCUGUUGAGUCCUAGACCUUUUGUUUUUAAUUCAAGCAAUCAAACUGCCAAAUUACUGUAAUUAUUAACAGCAUAGGUCAUUGAUAAUCAGCUGAAUUUUAGAACUGCUUUGGGAAACCCUAUUUUGUAAUGAGACACAUUACUUCUUGCAUUAUUGUAUAUUGUAAGGUCAAUGGGAUAAACUGCUUGAUGCACAGUAGAUUUUAUAAUCUUAAAUGUAUAA